UGAGGAAUAUUGGUCAAUGGACGAGAGUCUGAACCAGCCAAGUAGCGUGCAGGAUGACGGCCCUAUGGGUUGUAAACUGCUUUUGUUUGGGAAUAAUCGACAUUACGUGUAAUGUUUUGCAUGUACCAUUCGAAUAAGGACCGGCUAAUUCCGUGCCAGCAGCCGCGGUAAUACGGAAGGUCCAGGCGUUAUCCGGAUUUAUUGGGUUUAAAGGGAGUGUAGGCGGUUGGUUAAGCGUGUUGUGAAAUUUACCGGCUCAACCGGUGGCUUGCAGCGCGAACUGGUCGACUUGAGUAUGCAGGAAGUAGGCGGAAUUCAUGGUGUAGCGGUGAAAUGCUUAGAUAUCAUGACGAACUCCGAUUGCGCAGGCAGCUUACUGUAGCAUAACUGACGCUGAUGCUCGAAAGUGCGGGUAUCAAACAGG
rnacentral:rRNA from 1 species